rnacentral:tRNA from 1 species
GCCCGGGUGGCGGAAUCGGUAGACGCAAGGGACUUAAAAUCCCUCGGCAUUCGUGCUGUACGAGUUCAAGUCUCGUCCCGGGUACCA